AUUGUUCCUUACAAUGGUUCUAGAGAUAGUCAGAAAGAGACAGAUAAUAUGGACGUAGAGGAAGAUAAUAUUGAUGUUAACUUGAAUAGUUCACCUCGUGAGGAUGUUGAUGAUUCUUUUCGGUCUGAUAUAUUUGAUCCAAGAAACUGGGAUUCUCUUAAUUCUAAACAGAUUUAUAUCUUAGCACAGAAGGGUCCAAAAACAGACAAGUCAGUUAAGAAAGGUCCCAAAGAUAGAUAUCGUAAAAGGUUUACUUUAGUAUUCUAUACUAGAAUCCUAUCAAAUGGAAAGCAUUGUGAUAGAGACUGGCUUGUCUAUUAUGAACAACUUGAUAGAGUCUUUUGCUUUGGUUGUAAAUUAUUUACAAAAGGUCAUCGGAAAGGUUAG
rnacentral:rRNA from 1 species